AUUGAACGCUGGCGGCAGGCCUAACACAUGCAAGUCGAGCGGAUGAAGGGAGCUUGCUCCUGGAUUCAGCGGCGGACGGGUGAGUAAUGCCUAGGAAUCUGCCUGGUAGUGGGGGAUAACGUCCGGAAACGGGCGCUAAUACCGCAUACGUCCUGAGGGAGAAAGUGGGGGAUCUUCGGACCUCACGCUAUCAGAUGAGCCUAGGUCGGAUUAGCUAGUUGGUGGGGUAAAGGCCUACCAAGGCGACGAUCCGUAACUGGUCUGAGAGGAUGAUCAGUCACACUGGAACGGAGACCCGGCCCAGACUCCUACGGGAGGCAGCAGUGGGGAAUAUUGGACAAGGGGCGAAAGCAUGACCCAGCCAUCCGGCGUGGGAGAAGAAGGUUUUGGGUUUGUAAGGAAUUUUAGGUGGGGAGGAAGGGCAGUAAGUUAAUACCUUGCUGUUUUGACGUUACCAAAAAAAUAAGCACCGGCUAACUUCGUG
rnacentral:rRNA from 1 species